rnacentral:rRNA from 1 species
UACGUACUGUGCGAACGUUAUUCGGAAUCACUGGGCUUAAAGGGUGCGUAGGCGGCGAUUCAAGUCAGGUGUGAAAUGCCUGAGCUCAACUGAGGCAUUGCGCUUGAAACUGAAUUGCUAGAGUAUCCCAGGGGUGUGCGGAACUGCCAGUGGAACGGUGAAAUGUGUUGAUAUUGGCAGGAACACCGGAGGCGAAAGCGGCACACUGGGGGACAACUGACGCUGAGGCACGAAAGCCAAGGGAGCGAACGGA